rnacentral:lncRNA from 1 species
CGAGGGCGGGGCGAAGUCUCGGGGCUGGAGAGGAGAGGUCCGCAGUAAGUGGCCGGCCAGUGGCGGGCUACUGAAGAAGAACGUAGGGCAGGGAUCCCCUCCUGGCGCAGCGGAGGUUGGAAGACUGGGCAAGAAAACAUGGUUUGGGGGCCGGACUCGGAAGCAAAGGUGUUAGGGACACAGGGAGAGACUGAGGGAGAAGAUUGUGGCUUGAGAGUAAGGAGAGACUGAAACUGCCUUGUAAACCGCAGGGCAGGUGCUGAGGGUCGUGGUGGUGGGCUGAUACUCUGGGGACUGGGGAAGCACUCUGGGGUCAGGAAGGAGACUCUGAGGCGAGAAGGGAGUCAGCUGAAUAGAAAGAAGACAGAAAUUGGAAUCAGGCUACCCCAGAGCAGAAUGGUCUUCCCUUCUAACUUGUAACCCUUUCCUAAGGGUUGGGCUGGGCUCAGGGCAUCCUAUACCCAAUGCAGUGGAGUUACUACUAGCCACUGCUCUAACAGAUGGAAGGGCUGUCCCUUUCCUAAACCUCUUUCAACUUGGUUAUUUCCUCCUUUUCAUAUUUCUUCUUGUUGUUGUUGCUGUUUUUAUUUCUUUGUUGUUCCUUUCUAGGUAGUGGGAGGCAUAGUUUUUGGCAAUAGCCAGCCAAGGAUACAGGGAACAGGUGCGGCGCCUGCACGCUGACUUCACGUGGUGGAUGUCUGGCUGAGAGAGAAGUAGGAAAUCCUCACAACGCUUCUUCCAGCUUUGAUCUGCCUGGGGCAGCCCGUGGUGGAAGAUGACUCUGUAGCCCUGGUGUCUACCAGUAUCCGGAGUGGGAGCCCCAAGAGCCAUGUAGACAGGCACCCAGCACUGUGCCAGGUAAGAGACCUUCUUGGCCUGCCUUGGUGUCUGCAGUGGGAACUCAUUAUCCUCUGUCUACAGCUUGAGCCAGCGCAAUCUGCUGCACAGAAGCAAGAGGAAGGAAGCUUGCUGAGAAAAGUGGUGCAUGCCUGCCGGUUGUCUCAGCACUUAGACUAAGGCCAGCCUUGGCUACAUAGUAAACGUGAGGCUAGCCUAGAAUUUUUGGUGCAUUGUCGUUUUCUCCCAUGAGCAGGAUGGGGAGAGUCGUCUGGCUCUUGCAGUGGACUGUAGUAGUUAGUCAUCAGCAUCCCUUAUAAGGUCCACUCUCUUUUUCUAUUCCCGGGGCUGCUCUUUCUUUGGAGCAAGAGCUUCCUAGGUACUGAGACUUCCAAGACAGGAUCAUGAGCUGGGUGUGGCGCCACACAGCUGGGACUCCAGCCCUUGGGAGGCAGAGGGAAAGGAUCAUGGGAUUAAUACCAGCUGCACAGCCUUAAAAAGGAAAAACAAACAAACAAACAAAAAAA